rnacentral:miRNA from 1 species
UGCAUGUGUUCAUUUGUGUGUGUGUGUGUGUGUGUGUGGCACCACACACACACGCACACACACCUGCACACGUGCAUG